UCUUCAGCCACACAUUUGUGAAGACGAG
rnacentral:piRNA from 1 species